GAGAGCCAAAUGAUCGAAAGAUUCAUGUUGGUUCGGGAAGGGAUCAUGGAAUUUUUGAAUGAAUGGAAAGAUAAUCUACUUUCAU
rnacentral:ncRNA from 1 species